CGCGGAUUGGCGUCUUGCGCUUGCGCAGAGAGAGCCCAGGAGCUCGGCGCGUGCGCACUGAACGCCUGCAAGACCCAGUCGGCCGCGCGGGCGCAGAUCGGCUGCUUGCGGUGGUUUGAGUGGUGGCAAGUCCAGUGCUGAGAGGGGUCGGCAGUCUUCCGGAAAACUCUAGCGCCAAGUUCCUGAGCUUUCGGAGGCGAGGCGCGGCAUGUCGUGGGUUCCGCGGGGUUGGCGGUGAACGUGCGGGCGGGAUGGGUCGGCGCCGGGGUGUGGAGCUGUACCGGGCCCCGUUCCCGUUGUACGCGCUUCGGAUAGACCCCAAGACUGGGCUGCUCAUCGCUGCGGGCGGAGGAGGAGCUGCCAAGACCGGCAUAAAGAAUGGCGUGCAUUUUCUGCAGCUAGAGCUGAUCAACGGGUGCCUGAGCGCUUCCUUGCUGCACUCUCAUGACACGGAGACACGGGCCACCAUGAAUUUGGCGCUUGCUGGUGACAUUCUUGCUGCCGGACAGGAUGCCCAGUGUCAGCUUCUUCGUUUCCAGGUCCAUCAACAGAAGGGCAGUAAAGCGGAGAAGUCAGGUUCCAAGGAGCAGGGACCUCGACAGAGAAAGGGGGCUCCUCCAGCAGAGAAGAAAUCGGGAGCACAAGUUCACCCCGAAGGGGUUGAACUCAAAGUAAAGAAUUUGGAGGCAGUACAGACAGACUUCAGCAAUGAACCGCUGCAGAAAGUUGUGUGCUUCAACCAUGAUAACACCCUGCUUGCCACUGGAGGAACUGAUGGUCAUGUUCGUGUCUGGAAGGUACCUAGCCUGGAGAAAGUUCUGGAGUUCAAAGCCCAUGAAGGGGAGAUUGGAGAUUUGACUUUGGGUCCUGAUGGCAAGCUGGUUACAGUGGGCUGGGACUUUAAGGCCUCUGUGUGGCAGAAGGAUCAACUGGUGACACAGCUACAGUGGCAAGAGAAUGGACCAGCCUCUUCUAAUACACCAUACCGCUACCAGGCCUGCAGGUGUGCAGGUCACAGGGUGGCUGGCAGGCACACCUCAGCUGGGAAAUGGGAAAAGACAGAAGGAGCUGGCCAUGGCUGGAGCCUUGUUGGAGGUUUGGGCAGGUUCCAGAUCAGCUCGGUGGGCUGCGACUCUUCACAGUGCAGAUACCCCACAAGCGCCUACGUCAGCCCCCACCCUGCUACCUCACAGCCUGGGACAGUUCCACCUUCUUGCCUCUUCGGACCAGAUCCUGUGGCCAUGAGGUCAUUUCCUGCCUCAGUGUCAGCGCCUGUAUUAUGUGAAGGAGGCCCAUGGCAUUGUGGUAACAGAUGUGACCUUUCUACCUGAGAAGGGUUGUGGUCCAAAGCUCCUUGGGCCCCAUGAAACUGCUCUUUUCUCUGUGGCUGUGGAUAGUCGUUGCCAGUUGCACCUGCUGCCUUCACGGCGGAGUGUUCCUGUAUGGCUUCUGCUCCUGCUGUGUGUCGGCCUUAUUAUUGUGACCAUCCUGCUGCUCCAGACUGCCUUCCCGGGAUUUCUCUAACCUCUAGAGCGAUGGGAAUCAGCCUUGGACAGUGCCGCCUUCCAGAGCAGAAUCACUGAGCCCCACGGCUGAAGCUGCAUCUGAUGAAACUGAUGGGUACUGCUUGUCCCUCAGCUCACACUUGGCGGUGGCCUCUCGAUCACUCUGGGUCUUGGGAGCUCUUGCCUUCACCUGUGGAUCCACUUAAGACAUUGUGGUCUGAAGCUCAGGCCACAGUGCCUGCCUCGUUCCCUCAGCCUCCCUCCCAGGGCUCCAGAGCUCAGCUCUUCCUUUUCUAGAAGCAUGUGAAGAUGCCCAAGAGCCUGGAGACAUUGCCAUCCUUCCUACAGAAACUGUUUCUCCUCCUCCCCUCCAGCCUUCACACAAGGGCCUUGGCUUUGUUGAGACAGAGCCUGUGCUGGCACUUGCUGUUAGGGUAGGAAGAGGCACAAAGAGGACCCCGGUAGCGGUGAUCUGUGGCCUUCUGUGGGUAGCACCAAGCCAGUCAGUCCAGACACAUAGUGAGUUCCUGGAGGGUCUACUGCAGCCUGAGGAAAGGGAACCUCAGCUCGUUAGGCAGGAAGAGUUGAUAUUUAAUAAAGAGAGAACAAUUGAACCGAGAGCCCAGCAGUCCUCUUGUCAGCUCUUUCCAUCUUCAGGAGUGAGUACUCCCAGGUCAGGUAGCCCCACUGAGUGCUGGAAGAUGGCUCGGGCAUACUGAUGUAGUACGCGGUUCAUGUAACAGUGUUGCCAGGGCAUCAGCCCUUCCAGGAAGCCAAUGUGGCCACCCCGAGCUGUGAUGAGCAGGGCCACAUAGGGAGACUUCUGGGCAGCCUGCAGAGGGAAGGCUAGAAGGGAGUCAGGAGGUCAGAAAGCUGUCCGGGAAUGAGAACCCAGGCUCAUACCUCAACCCUCAUCUAUGGCUCAGUAGCUGUGGGAUCAGGACCUCGUUGCAGGCACUCACCAUGGACUGGGGAGAAGGGGUCAUCUGCUGCAUUGAGGCAGAGAACAGGGGUGUGGAUGGCAUCUACCUUGGUUCUUGGGCUUGCGGCUUGGUAAUAAGCCGCACAGUCUUUAUACCCAAAAGCCACAGAUGUGUAGCGCUCAUCCAGCUGGCGGAUCGUGCGGGCCUGUGUGGUAGAGGCAUGGUAGGCUAUAAUAUUAGAACGUAGGAGACCAACACUGGGGUGAGAGGGUGAUCGAAAGAUACCUUUAUCGCAAAGUCUACAUCCAACACCUUUUCAAUUGGCUUUCGGUUCCUGGAAAAGAAUACAUCAGGGUUUGUCUGAACUCCUGCACCUAACCCAGAGCUCACAGCUUCUGUCUUCUUACCUCCUCAAGAAAGCCCAGAUUGGAAUGGACCCAAGCACUGGCAGAGCCUGCCAUCUGCUAUCCUACCUGGCCACAAGCCGGCAGAGUCCAGCAGUGAGUGGCUGAUUGAAGAGCAGUGAGUUGAGUGGGGUCUCCAAGGAGUCAACGGUCUCAAAGGAAUCCCAACAUGCAGACAAUGGUCAGUCCUGCGACCAAGCCUCCAGCCUUCCCAGUCUGUGCCAGAUAGUUAAGCACCAGUAUCCUGUAAAAUUGGAUGCAGGGCCAUGGAAAGUGUUGGCAUGGGAACACUGGGACAGAAGAGGAGAAAAAGACAAGAUGAACAAACCCAGGCAACUAUUACCCUCCAAAAGAGAUGCCCACAGCCAGCAGUGGAGCUUGGGAGUAGCGACGUUUUAUGUGCUUCACAACUGUUUCUAGGUCUUCAGUAUUGCUGGCACAGUAAGCCCUGUGAGUCUGAGGGCAAAGCGGGUCAUUGACUAGGGAGGGAGGCUCUUGCCAGAAGACAGCCAAGCGGAAGGGCUCAGGAAGGGUAGGGGGUUGGUAAGUAGGUAGAGCCCUAGGGCCAGUGGUCUCUAAAGGGAACAGGGACAGGGCCACCACAAAGGAGGAGGGUACUCACCAGCAGCUCUUCCCCUCGGCAUCCUCGGUUAUUAAAUACAACAGCCCUGGGGCAAGAUAGGAGUGUGAGCCAAGCCCUCCCAAGAAGACCCUCCCCUUGAUAGUCUUCAGAAAGGCCCCUGUCAGAGAGUACCAUAUCAGGGUCAGAUGUACUUUUGCCCUUCCCAAGUUCUGUACCCUGUCCUUACCUAUAGCCAUCCUUCAGAGCUUGGUUAACUAGGUGUAAGAUGUACGGCUCCUGGCUACUGCCGCUGAUGCCUGGAAGCAGCAGUACUAUGGGCUGGGUGGUAGGGUCCGGGUAGUGAGUGCUGUUAGGCUGCUCGGCCCAGUCUAGAAGGAACUGGCCUCCAUCUGGGGUCUGGAGGACUUCACUGGGGUUUAGAGAUUGCAACACAAAGAUGUUAUUAGGAGUUGCACUUCUGCAUGUCAAAGCUCUACCCUCUGACUCGCCCACAAGCUCUGCUGUUUGUCAUGGGUAUCACUUGAAGGCACGCUUCAUAUAAAACAGCAAGGUGACCAGCUAGAUUGGACUAUUAACCUUGUGUGGGUGCAAGUAGAGAGCCUUUCCAUACAUAUAGGCUCAUGCUUUGGGACAAAGAUUACCGUCAUAUAAAGAGGUGGACCAUAGAGACUUGCAGCUUUGUGUUCCUGGUCCUGACCCUUCUUACCUCCGGUAAGGGACCACAGGCUGAGACUGCAGGAGGACUCGGAAGAUGGUUUGCAGCCGUCCCUCAAAGCACCACAGUGUCGGGUAGAAAGUCUCCACAGUGACUGGACAGUGUUGUUCCAGGAAGGCCAGAAACUGGGGCCCAGCCACCAGACGAGGCCUCUAUAAUCAUACAACACAUUGGCCUCUUUUGUUGUCCUGUCCCAGACACUGGAGGGUCAGUGAGCUCCUCCCCGGAAUCCAGCCUUAAGGAUGGAUUUGCCACAGUCAAGUGUCCAGCACAGCUCAGCCUAGAGUGGCAUAUGGUGCCCCACAAAAACCACAGUCCUAAAGUGUCCCCUCCGGGACUGACCCUGAAGGAAGGACUGCAGCAGUUGUCGAGGUACUGACUCCCACACUCAGCCUGUCCCCUCCUCAAACCCACUUGUGCUAGAACAGGUACUAUAAGCCGCUCAGGUGAGCAGCUAGAGUAUGGCCUGUGCUCCUCUGGCUGGUAAACUGGAGUUUUUGUCUGGUUUGGUUUUAUUUCUAAUUAUGUGCCUCUCCUAUGAGCAUGGGCACACAGGUCAGAUCUUGCCUGUGAGAUCCAGAAGAAGUGUUGGAUCCUCUGGAGCUGGAGUUAGAGGUAGCUGAGAGAGCCACAGCAUGGAAGCUGGGACAAACUGAUCUGCAGGGACAGAAGUAUAUGCUCUUCAGGGCUGAGACAUCUGGCCUGGAUGGUUGGAGCCUUGAACUCAUCGUAAUCCUCCUGCCUCUGUGCUAGGCUUGUGUCACCUUGGUGUGCUGGUUGGGACUCUUGACCAGGUGAAGAUACCUCUGCCAUUCAAUCUGGCCUUUGCAUUGUAGCAACCUUGUCCAAAUGCAUCACCCUGAAGCUCAUUCGGGUCACUCCAGCUCCUGUACCCCACUGAUUUUAGCACCCCAGUGUCUACAUAUUUCUCUAAUGUAUGUGUGCUCAGUGCUGAAGGGCUUCUUUUACAGGGGCACCUCAUAUUCUCUUGUGGAGCCCCAGUUCUUAGGCUGUGUUCUACAGGAGGAAGCACCCCAACGUGAACAAGUAUUUCCUUUCCUCGUGCCAACUAGAGAAAAGGGCACAGUGAUGGGACAAUGGGGACAAACGAGGUUGAUGGGCACCAAGCCCUGACUCUCUUCUGCCUCUUCGCUUGGUUCUUUAUUGGCAUGAAGUAAAUGAGCUGGCCUAGCCUCACAGACCUAAGGACACUGGGCUGAACAGAGUUGGAGGACGCCAGCCUAAGAGCAGAAUGGGAGGGUUAUGUUGGGAUACAGCAAGCCCGGGACAGUCUCCAGCAUUGGAGAAGGUUGUUUGUUUGUUUGUUUGUUUGUUUGUUUUAAUCAUAAAUUGCACUUGUAAGAAA